CUAUCCAUGUCCAGGUUGAAGUUGCCGUAAAAGGCUAUGGAGGACCGAACCCACAUCCGUUGAAAAGGGUGGGGAUGAGGUGUGGAUAGGGGAGAAAUUCCAAUCGAACCCGGAGAUAGCUGGUUCUCCUCGAAAUAGCUUUAGGGCUAGCCUCAUAUAAGUCUUGCGGAGGUAGAGCACUGAAUUUCCUGGGGGGCGUCAAAGCUUACCGAAGAAUAUCAAACUCCGAAUGCCGUGUAGAUGUUGUAUGGGAGUCAGACUGUACGAGAUAAGUUGGACAGUCAAAAGGGAAAGAGCCCAGACCUGCAGCUAAGGCCCCAAAAUGUGUGUUAAGUGGAAAAGGAUGUGGGAUUUCAAAGACAACUAGGAUGUUGGCUUAGAAGCAGCCACUCAUUAAAAGAGUGCGUAAUAGCUCACUGGUCGAGUGGCUCUGCGCCGAAAAUUCAACGGGGCUAAAACAUAUACCGAAGCUUGGGCUUGACAGUAAUGUCAGGGGUAGGGGAGCGUUGUGUAAGGGGUGAAGUCAUAGCGAAAGCGGUGGUGGACUUUACACAAGUGAGAAUGCCGGAAUGAGUAGCGAGAAUUAUGUGAGAAUCAUAAUGGCCGAAAAUCUAAGGUUUCAGAAGGAAGGUUCGUCCGCUUCUGGUAAGCCGGGAGCUAAGGCGAGGCCGAAAGGCGUAGCCGAUGCACAUACGGUAGAAAUUCCGUAGCCUCUACCAAUUUAAACACAGGGACACUUUUGAAGGGUUCAGCCGGGCGAUGGUUGCCCCGGUCGUAAGGGACUGCAAAUGAGCGGGAAGUGAAUUUGGAAGAAGGCGAGAAAAGCUGUGUGAAUAGAAGAUAGAGCCCGUACCGCAAACCGACACAGGUAGAUAGGAAGAAGAUUCUAAGGCCAACGGGAGAAGGGUUGUUAAGGAACUCGGCAAGUUGACCCCGUAACUUAGGGAGAAGGGGUGCUCUUUAAGGAGAGCCGCAGAGAAUAGGCCCAAGCGACUGUUUAGCAAAAACACAGCUCUAUGCUAAAUCGAAAGAUGACGUAUAUGGGGUGACACCUGCCCGGUGCCGGAAGGUUAAGAGGAGGAGUGAGAGCUCUGAAUUGAAGCCCCGGUAAACGGCGGCCGUAACUAUAACGGUCCUAAGGUAGCGAAAUUCCUUGUCAGGUAAGUUCUGACCCGCACGAAUGGUGUAACGAUUUGGGCACUGUCUCAACAACCUGCCCGGCGAAAUUGUAGUACCGGUGAAGAUGCCGGUUACCCGCGACUAGACGGAAAGACCCCAUGGAGCUUUACUGCAGCUUAAUAUUGAAUUUCGGUAUUUCAUGUACAGGAUAGGCGGGAGACAGGGAACCAUAGGCGUCAGCUUAUGGGGAGUCGACCUUGGGAUACCACUCUUGAGGUGCUGGAAUUCUAACCUGCG
rnacentral:rRNA from 1 species